GUCGAACGAUGAACCACUUCGGUGGGGAUUAGUGGCGAACGGGUGAGUAACACGUGGGCAAUCUGCCCUUCACUCUGGGACAAGCCCUGGAAACGGGGUCUAAUACCGGAUAUGAGCCUGGGAGGCAUCUCCCGGGUUGUAAAGCUCCGGCGGUGAAGGAUGAGCCCGCGGCCUAUCAGCUUGUUGGUGAGGUAAUGGCUCACCAAGGCGACGACGGGUAGCCGGCCUGAGAGGGCGACCGGCCACACUGGGACUGAGACACGGCCCAGACUCCUACGGGAGGCAGCAGUGGGGAAUAUUGCACAAUGGGCGAAAGCCUGAUGCAGCGACGCCGCGUGAGGGAUGACGGCCUUCGGGUUGUAAACCUCUUUCAGCAGGGAAGAAGCGAGAGUGACGGUACCUGCAGAAGAAGCGCCGGCUAACUACGUGCCAGCAGCCGCGGUAAUACGUAGGGCGCAAGCGUUGUCCGGAAUUAUUGGGCGUAAAG
rnacentral:rRNA from 1 species